rnacentral:rRNA from 1 species
UGGGGAAUUUUGGACAAUGGGCGAAAGCCUGAUCCAGCAAUGCCGCGUGUGUGAAGAAGGCCUUCGGGUUGUAAAGCACUUUUGUCCGGAAAGAAAUCCUUGGCUCUAAUACAGUCGGGGGAUGACGGUACCGGAAGAAUAAGCACCGGCUAACUACGUGCCAGCAGCCGCGGUAAUACGUAGGGUGCAAGCGUUAAUCGGAAUUACUGGGCGUAAAGCGUGCGCAGGCGGUUUGCUAAGACCGAUGUGAAAUCCCCGGGCUCAACCUGGGAACUGCAUUGGCGACUGGCAGGCUAGAGUAUGGCAGAGGGGGGUAGAAUUCCACGUGUAGCAGUGAAAUGCGUAGAGAUGUGGAGGAAUACCGAUGGCGAAGGCAGCCCCCUGGGCCAAUACUGACGCUCAUGCACGAAAGCGUGGGGAGCAAACAGGAUUAGAUACCCUGGUAGUCCACGCCCUAAAACGAUGUCAACUAGUUGUUGGGGGAUUCAUUUCCUUAGUAACGUAGCUAACGCGUGAAGUUGACCGCCUGGGGAGUACGGUCGCAAGAUUAAAACUUAAAGGAAUUGACGGGGUCAUAGCUGUUUCCU